rnacentral:rRNA from 1 species
UUGCUUUCUUUGCUGACGAGUGGCGGACGGGUGAGUAAUGCUUGGGAAUCUGGCUUAUGGAGGGGGAUAACUACGGGAAACUGUAGCUAAUACCGCGUAAUAUCUUCGGAUUAAAGGGUGGGACUUUCGGGCCACCUGCCAUAAGAUGAGCCCAAGUGGGAUUAGGUAGUUGGUUAGGUAAAGGCUGACCAAGCCGACGAUCUCUAGCUGGUCUGAGAGGAUGACCAGCCACACUGGAACUGAGACACGGUCCAGACUCCUACGGGAGGCAGCAGUGGGGAAUAUUGCACAAUGGGGGGAACCCUGAUGCAGCCAUGCCGCGUGAAUGAAGAAGGCCUUCGGGUUGUAAAGUUCUUUCGGUAGCGAGGAAGGUGGUUAUGUAAAUAGCAUAAUCAAUUGACGUUAACUACAGAAGAAGCACCGGCUAACUCCGUGCCAGCAGCCGCGGUAAUACGGGGGGUGCGAGCGUUAAUCGGAAUAACUGGGCGUAAAGGGCACGCAGGCGGUGACUUAAGUGAGAUGUGAAAGCCCCGAGCUUAACUUGGGAAUUGCAUUUCAUACUGGGUCGCUAGAGUACUUUAGGGAGGGGUAGAAUUCCACGUGUAGCGGUGAAAUGCGUAGAGAUGUGGAGGAAUACCGAAGGCGAAGGCAGCCCCUUGGGAAUGUACUGACGCUCAUGUGCGAAAGCGUGGGGAGCAAACAGGAUUAGAUACCCUGGUAGUCCACGCUGUAAACGAUGUCGAUUUGGGGAUUGGGCUUUAAGCUUGGUGCCCGUAGCUAACGUGAUAAAUCGACCGCCUGGGGAGUACGGCCGCAAGGUUAAAACUCAAAUGAAUUGACGGGGGCCCGCACAAGCGGUGGAGCAUGUGGUUUAAUUC